rnacentral:rRNA from 1 species
AAUCAACGCUGGCGGCGUGCCUCAGACAUGCAAGUCGAACGCGAAAGUCCCCUUCGGGGGAUGAUUAGAGUGGCGCACGGGUGAGUAACACGUAGGUAAUCUACCUUCGAGUGGGGAAUAACUCAGGGAAACUUGAGCUAAUACCGCAUAAUGCAGCGGCACCACAUGGUGACAGUUGUUAAAGCAUUUAUGCGCUUGAAGAGGAGCCUGCGGCGGAUAGCUAGUUGGUAAGGUAAUGGCUUACCAAGGCUACGAUCUGUAACCGGCCUGAGAGGGCGGACGGUCACACUGACACUGAAUAACGGGUCAGACUCCUACGGGAGGCAGCAGUCGGGAA